UUGAACGCUGGCGGCAGGCCUAACACAUGCAAGUCGAACGGUAACAAGAAGAAGCUUGCUUCUUUGCUGACGAGUGGCGGACGGGUGAGUAAUGUCUGGGAAACUGCCUGAUGGAGGGGGAUAACUACUGGAAACGGUAGCUAAUACCGCAUAACGUCGCAAGACCAAAAAGGGGGACCUUCGGGCCUCUUGCCAUCGGAUGUGCCCAGAUGGGAUUAGCUAGUAGGUGGGGUAACGGCUCACCUAGGCGACGAUCCCUAGCUGGUCUGAGAGGAUGACCAGCCACACUGGAACUGAGACACGGUCCAGACUCCUACGGGAGGCAGCAGUGGGGAAUAUUGCACAAUGGGCGCAAGCCUGAUGCAGCCAUGCCGCGUGUAUGAAGAAGGCCUUCGGGUUGUAAAGUACUUUCAGCGGGGAGGAAGGGAGUAAAGUUAAUACCUUUGCUCAUUGACGUUACCCGCAGAAGAAGCACCGGCUAACUCCGUG
rnacentral:rRNA from 1 species